UACGGAGGGUGCAAGCGUUGUCCGGAUUCAUUGGGUUUAAAGGGUGCGCAGGCGGGCCAUUAAGUCAGGGGUGAAAGACGGUUGCUCAACAAUCGCAGUGCCUUUGAUACUGGUGGUCUUGGGUGACCUUGAGGUAGGCGGAAUGGGUGGUGUAGCGGUGAAAUGCAUAGAUACCACCCAGAACUCCGAUUGCGAAGGCAGCCUACUGGAGGUUCACCGACGCUCAGGCACGAAAGCGUGGGGAUCAAACAGG
rnacentral:rRNA from 1 species